AUUGAACGCUGGCGGCAUGCCUAACACAUGCAAGUCGAACGGUAACAGGCCUUCGGGCGCUGACGAGUGGCGGGCGGGUGAGUAACGCGUGGGAAUCUGCCUAGUAGUGGGGGACAACCUGGGGAAACUCAGGCUAAUACCGCAUACGCCCUACGGGGGAAAGCAGGGGAUCUUCGGACCUUGCGCUAUUAGAUGAGCCUGCGUCGGAUUAGCUUGUUGGUGGGGUAAAGGCCUACCAAGGCGACGAUCCGUAGCUGGUUUGAGAGGACGAUCAGCCACACUGGGACUGAGACACGGCCCAGACUCCUACGGGAGGCAGCAGUGGGGAAUAUUGGACAAUGGGGGCAACCCUGAUCCAGCAAUGCCGCGUGUGUGAAGAAGGCCUGCGGGUUGUAAAGCACUUUCGGAUGGGAAGAAAAGCUCAAGGCUAAUAUCCUUGAGUCUUGACGUUACUAUCAGAAGAAGCACCGGCUAACUCUGUG
rnacentral:rRNA from 1 species